GCUGGGCACAGUGGCUUGUGCCUGUAAUCCCAGCUCUGUGGGAGGCUGAGGCUGUAGGAUUGCUUAAGCUCAGGAAUUCUGGGCUGCAGUUGGUCAUGCUGAUCAGGUGUCCACACUAAGGUCAGCAUCAAUAUGGUGACUUGUGGGAAGCUGCAGGUUACCUGGUUGUCUAAGAAGGGGUGAACCAGCCCAGGUCAAGAAUGGAGCAGGCCAAAACUCCUAUGCUGAGGAGUAAAGGGAUUGCACCUGUGGUUGGUCCCUGCAGCACAGCCUGGGCAAGAGAGUAAAACUCAGUCUCU
ensembl:misc_RNA Metazoa_SRP Metazoan signal recognition particle RNA